AAUGAACGCUGGCGGCAGGCCUAACACAUGCAAGUCGAACGGAUCCUUCGGGAUUAGUGGCGGACGGGUGAGUAACGCGUGGGAACAUACCCAAAGGUACGGAAUAGCCUCGGGAAACUGGGAGUAAUACCGUAUGUGCUCGAAAGAGGAAAGAUUUAUCGCCUUUGGAUUGGCCCGCGUUGGAUUAGGUAGUUGGUGGGUAAUGGCCUACCAAGCCGACGAUCCAUAGCUGGUUUGAGAGGAUGAUCAGCCACACUGGGACUGAGACACGGCCCAGACUACUACGGGAGGCAGCAGUGGGGAAUCUUAGACAAUGGGGGAAACCCUGAUCUAGCCAUGCCGCGUGAUCGAUGAAGGCCUUAGGGUUGUAAAGAUCUUUCAGGUGGGAAGAUAAUGACUGUACCACCAGAAGAAGCCCCGGCUAACUCCGUGCCAGCCGCCGCGGUAA
rnacentral:rRNA from 1 species